rnacentral:tRNA from 1 species
GGGGCUGUAGCUCAAUUGGCAGAGCGCCUGGUUCGCAAUCAGGAGGUUAGGGGUUCGAUUCCCCUUAGCUCCA